AUUGAACGCUGGCGGCAGGCCUAACACAUGCAAGUCGAGCGGAGCGGCGGACGGGUGAGUAAUGCCUAGGAAUCUGCCUGGUAGUGGCGGAUAACGUCCGGUAACGGGCGCUAAUACCGCAUACUAUCAGAUGAGCCGAGGUCGGAUGAGCUAGUUGGUGGGGUAAAGGCCUACCAAGGCGACUAUCCGGAAAUGGUCUGAGAGGAUGAUCAGUCACACGGGAACGGAGACACGGUCCAGACUCCUACGGGAGGCAGCAGUGGGGAAGAUGGGACAAUGGGCGAAAGCCUGAUCGAGCCAUGCCGCGUGUGUGAAGAAGGUCUGCGGAUUUUAAAGCACUUUAAGUUGGGAGGCGUUACCAACAGAAUAAGCACCGGCUAACUACGUGCCAGCAGCCGCGGUAAUAC
rnacentral:rRNA from 1 species